AGAUUGAACGCUGGCGGCAUGCUUUACACAUGCAAGUCGAACGGUAACAGGCCGCAAGGUGCUGACGAGUGGCGAACGGGUGAGUAAUGUAUCGGAACGUGCCCAGUCGUGGGGGAUAACGCAGCGAAAGCUGCGCUAAUACCGCAUACGAUCUAUGGAUGAAAGCGGGGGACCGUAAGGCCUCGCGCGAUUGGAGCGGCCGAUAUCAGAUUAGGUAGUUGGUGGGGUAAAGGCUCACCAAGCCAACGAUCUGUAGCUGGUCUGAGAGGACGACCAGCCACACUGGGACUGAGACACGGCCCAGACUCCUACGGGAGGCAGCAGUGGGGAAUUUUGGACAAUGGGCGCAAGCCUGAUCCAGCAAUGCCGCGUGCAGGAAGAAGGCCGUUCGGUUGUAAACUGCUUUUGUACGGAACGAAACGGUCCUGGUUAAUACCUGGGCUAAUGACGGUACGUAAGAAUAAGCACGGCUAACUACGUGCCAGCAGCCGA
rnacentral:rRNA from 1 species